rnacentral:rRNA from 1 species
GCCGCCCGAAAGGACGGGUAAUACCGGAUACCCCCGGGCGCCGCAUGGCGCCCGGGCUAAAGCCCCGACGGGAGGGGGAUGGCUCCGCGGCCCCAUCAGGUAGACGGCGGGGUGACGGCCCACCGUGCCGACAACGGGUAGCCGGGUUGAGAGACCGACCGGCCAGAUUGGGACUGAGACACGGCCCAGACUCCUACGGGAGGCAGCAUG